rnacentral:rRNA from 1 species
UACGUAGGGUGCAAGCGUUAAUCGGAAUUACUGGGCGUAAAGCGUGCGCAGGCGGCUUUGCAAGACAGAUGUGAAAUCCCCGGGCUUAACCUGGGAACUGCAUUUGUGACUGCAUGGCUGGAGUGCGGCAGAGGGGGAUGGAAUUCCGCGUGUAGCAGUGAAAUGCGUAGAUAUGCGGAGGAACACCGAUGGCGAAGGCAAUCCCCUGGGCCUGCACUGACGCUCAUGCACGAAAGCGUGGGGAGCAAACCGG